GGGCGGUUAGCUCAGCGGGAGAGCACUACGUUGACAUCGUAGGGGUCACAAGUUCAAUCCUUGUACCGCCCACCA
rnacentral:tRNA from 2 species